UACAGAGGGUGCAAGCGUUAAUCGGAAUUACUGGGCGUAAAGCGCGCGUAGGUGGUUCGUUAAGUUGGAUGUGAAAUCCCCGGGCUCAACCUGGGGAACUGCAUUCAAAACUGUCGAGCUAGAGUAUGGUAGAGGGUGGUGGAAUUUCCUGUGUAGCGGUGAAAUGCGUAGAUAUAGGAAGGAACACCAGUGGCGAAGGCGACCACCUGGACUGAUACUGACACUGAGGUGCGAAAGCGUGGGGAGCAAACAGG
rnacentral:rRNA from 1 species